rnacentral:rRNA from 1 species
GACAGAGGCCCCAAGCGUUAGGCGGAAUCACUGGGCUUUAAGCGUGUGUAGGCGGAUCGUUAAGUGUCUUGUGAAAUCCCACGGCUCACCCGUGGAACUGCUGGGCAUACUGGCGAUCUUGGGCCAACUAGGGGCAGUCGGAACAAGCGGUGGAGCGGUGAAAUGCGUAGAUAUCGCUUGGAACGCCGAAGGUGAAAACAGACUGCUGGGGUUGCGCCGACGCUGAGACACGAAAGCCAGGGGAGCAAACGGG